rnacentral:lncRNA from 1 species
GCCAGUCUUCUCUUAGCUGCUUUUGGAACAAGAUGUAGAGCCCUCAGCUCCUCCAGCCUCAUAUCUGCCUGGAUGCUGCCAUGCUUCUGCCUUGAUGAUCAUGGGCUGAACCUCAGAACCUGUAAGCCAACCCCAGUUAGUGUCCUUUAGAAGAGUUGCCUUGGUCAUGGUGUCUGUUAGGGUAUGUAGCUCAGACUGGCCUUCACCCUGGUUCGGUUAGCCUGCCAAAUGCAUGCACCACUGGAUAAAUCCCUCCUUUUAACUGAACUGUAACUCUGACGCUGAGUGGAGAGGCUAUGGCAGAGAAAGCAAGCCUACUGUGGAUGCCUGAAGCUAACACGGUUUUAAGAUGUAUUCAGUUCAUUGACAGCCCUAAGAAUUCAUGCUCAGUCGCUGAGGUCUGUGCUUCUGACUAGAUUGUGUGAAGGCUGUGGAGAUGGAUCCCUGGGGAAAUGCUUGCUGUGGAAGCACAAGGACCUGAAUUUGGAUCCCUAGCAUCUAUACGGAGAGCUGAGCAUCAGCACACACUUUUAUAAUCUCAGCGCUGGAGAGGCAAAGACUGGUGGAUCCCCAGAAACCCAUGGCUAGCCAGCUGAGCCAAAGUGAUGAUCUCCAGUUCCAUCUGCAGGUGUCUCUGGCAUGCAGAGCCAUCAAAUCCCCUUGAGCUGGAGACAGAGAUGACGAUUAACUGCCUGAUGUCAGUACUUGGAGCUGAACCUGGGUCUUUGGCAAGGACAGUACACACUCGUGUAACCACUGAGUUAUCUCUCCAAGACCCGAGAGAAAUGCACCAAAGACCUUCCGGUGGUGUUCUGGCUGCUUCUUGCCGCUUCUGUGGACUCGGGUGGAUUGGCUGAGCCUCUCUCAGUUUCUUCUGGAUCAAGCUGCUGCUGAUUCCUGUUUGAUGUUUUCCUGGACUGCUGACAGUGAAGAUUGGAAUCGCCCCAAAGAAUUAUUUCUAAACAGCUCCACAACCCCUGCUUCCUACUACCCUUUCUUUUCCCUUACCUGUGGGCCUGGUGCGAGGGUUCCAGCAAAGGGAAGCGAGUGCAGGCAGGAAGACAAAGUCUCUGCCAUGCCUUCCAGGUCUCUCAGUAACUCCGAGCUCUGAACUGAGCGGAUUGGGCUGGGCUGACUAGAAGCCAACUCUCCAGUGAGGAGUGCGGCUGGACCUCAGGUGGCUCUUCAGGAGAGCAGGUCUCUUCCCAAGUGUUACAGCUCUUGGAACAAAAGACUCAGAUGAAGGAGUAGUUCUUGUACACCUUUAAUUCCCUGGAUAGGAUUUAUAUACAGUUUUGGGGGUGAUUCAAGGUUUAACAGCAGGUACCUCUCAUUGGCUUGCACUGAGAGCGUGGGGAAAAAAAUAUUUGCACGUGGGAAGGCUCGGUGCUGCUCCUUCGUGACUGAUAGCCACACACCUCUCCUGUGGGGGCAGUAACUUUGACAGGAGCCAGGGGUCCAGGAGACACGAUCGAAUGCCUUCUGUCCCGUGUAGGUGGAAAUCACUACCUACCGGGUCCCACCAGGGUUCAAGACCUAUGCUUGACUGGAAACCAGGCUGUCUGUGUGCAGCCCACUGCCCACACAUACCUCUGGUGCGUAUUGGGCUGGAAGGGAGGUUGAAGGGUUGAAGAACCAUAAUUAAAGCAGGUUUUGAAAAAUCUAAGCCUUCAAUGCACCCUAAUCCUUCUCAAAGAGUUCCAUCAACUGAGGACCAAGGAUUCAAAUAUAUAAGCCUGGGGGACCGUUCUCAUUCAAAUCACCAUACGUGCAAUUAUUUUUGAAAUGUAAUUAAUUUUUUGUUUAUUUUUG